GGUCACAGGUCCCCUUAGCUGCAAGCAGGCCUGGAGCCUGAUGUGCCGGCCCGCCAGGACUCACAGCCCCUACGUGCCCUGCGCGCUGCAGCCGCGUCUCUUGUACAAGAUUCUGGAGGGCUGGAGCCUGACCCUUCUGCCUCCCCAGCGGCGCCUGGCACUGUGAGAGCGUGCAUGUGCACAGGAAUGUUCUUCAAUUCUACAAUGAAAUAUGCCUUUUCCCAUUUACCUGGAAGCACACAACCCUAGACCUCUCUUUUCUUGUCAUCUUUUUUCAAAGACACAAGUAAAGAAAAAAACAGCAUGGGCAAGGUGAAGGAGCAAGACUAAAAGCCACACUUGGACUUGGGAUUAGGCUGCCUUGAACAUACUGGCCCUGUGGCUCCUGCUGACCUGUGGAGAGAGGUCCAUCCUAUGGACCAUCAUCUAUCUGGACUGGGUACAGAUGAUGGGUUCUGUCAACUUCUUUGUACCACCAUGCUAUAAGGAAGUCCAAGCCACCCUGUGGAGAGGCAUAUGUGGAGAGAAGCAACAUACAGCAGCAAUUUGAAAGCCAUGUGAGUGAGUCAUCUUGGAAGUGAAUCUUCUAGCCCCAGCUGACGCCACAUG